AAUUCUAACCAUUUGUGGAACUUCUAAUAAAUUCUAACCAUCUUUAUGUUUCAUUGGCCAGUAAAAGCUAUAAACCAAUGAAAUUUAUCUUCUUAGAAACCUCAUCCUCCAUUGUCUAGGGGCAAGGGACUAAUUUUUCUCUCCCUAAAACAGUUUCCGCGUAACUAGUUAUGUAAAGCUCUGUUUAUAAAAGCAGGAAAGAGACAAACACUAAAAAAAAUUCUGGUUAAGUUCAUUCUCAAAACUGGCCUUACUAAGAAUCACAAUAAAGUGUUUCUGAUAUGACUGAGAAUCAUUUUUCUUAGUUCCUGAUUUUAUAUGUUUGAUUUAGAUGUUUACCACAUCUAGUAUUACAUCUAGCAUUUGAUUGGUGUCAUGUGAGUCGAACUAUUUCUUCUUAAACAUUUUCAUUACGCAUUACUAUUGCCAGGAUGUUGUUCAGCAGAAAUAUGACAAGAUUUCUACAGUAUCAGAAAACAUUUGCAUGGAUUUGUCCCUCUAUAUGAGAAAAAGGAUACACAUAGGCCAACCAAAUAAAAAUUCACCAAACAAAAUCCUACAAUUUGGUGGUGUUACCUAGAUACUUGCCAUGUCUGUUAUUGUCCAGGUGUCUUCACGUGCCCUAAAUUGACCUACAGUGACAUUGACACUUCAACCAUAUAUGACUUAACACAAUUUAGUGGAAUUAAUUGUUCAUGAAUUUAAUGCUACAAUAGAUAAUCAAGAUUUUACAUCUUAAAAGAAUGGACACAUAAGUCAAAUUAUGAUGCAUAGGAUAUGGAAAAAAAUGAUUCUAAUAAAUUAGACUAGUUAUCAAGUUAUUAAAAUUAAAUAAACCAGAAGAAGUAUCAAAGAAUGAUUCUAUAUAUAAAACAAGAUAUGCCACAUUAAAAUCAUACAAGAAGAUCCUCUCUACUUUAUUAGUGAUCACAUACUACUAAUAAAAAAAAAAAAAGGCAACGAAGGCCAUAACUUUCAAAUCCACAUACAUGGGUCAUGACCCAAGACCUUACCCAGAAAGGCAAGCCAAAAGUUAUUAUUUGGAACCCUUCGCCCUAUUAAGUACUCAAUAUCUUCCCAUGCAUAAUUGAUGCGGACUUAACACAUGCUCAUAUAGGUCCUCACACACUCCUCUAGUGUAAACCCUGGCAUUCUCACCAAAGAAAGGGUCCUAUCAAAAUCACUAGCUCAUUGUCGUCCUCAAAAAGGCUUGUGCUGCAGUGUCUCCUAGUACACGU
rnacentral:lncRNA from 1 species